rnacentral:rRNA from 1 species
UACGAAGGGGGCUAGCGUUGCUCGGAAUCACUGGGCGUAAAGCGUGCGCAGGCGGUUUUGUAAGCCAGAUGUGAAAUCCCCGGGCUUAACCUGGGAAUGGCAUUUGGGACUGCAAAGCUUGAGUGUGGCAGAGGGGACUGGAAUUCCGUGGUGUAGCAGUGAAAUGCGUAGAGAUCAGGAGGAAUACCGAUGGCGAAGGCAGGUCCCUGGGCUGACACUGACGCUCAUGCACGAAAGCGUGGGGAGCAAACAGG